rnacentral:rRNA from 1 species
GACGUAGGGCGCGAGCGUUGUCCGGAUUUAUUGGGCGUAAAGAGCUCGUAGGCGGCUUGUUGCGUCAGCUGUGAAAACCCGCAGCUCAACUGUGGGCUUGCAGCUGAUACGGGCAGGCUUGAGUUCGGUAGGGGAGACUGGAAUUCCCGGUGUAGUGGUGGAAUGCGUAGAUAUCGGGAGGAACACCAGUGGCGAAGGCGGUUGCCUGGGGCUUUGCUGACGCUGAUGCGCGAAAGCGUGGGGAGCGAGUCCGG